UUUGCUAUGGACUCUUUAUACAACAGCUUCCGUUUGGGAAAAGCGGCUCGGUCGUUUUCAGUCUGUUGAAAAUGUCAUUAGCCAAGGUAACAAUUAGUGAUGAACGUCGAUCCGAAGCUCUGACAAGUAAUCUGGAGAAAAGUUUUAAGAAGUUCGCCUCGUUAUACGUUCGCAGACACGAAGCAGGGAGGAGAGAAAAGCAUGAUGGGUAAAAACCACACAGGAUCGGUUCCUGUUAAACCACCAGAGGUCACCGUGGGGUCACCGUUAGCUCAGAGAAGGAAGUUGGAGGAAAGAAGAAAAGGUCCGAUGGGAGCAGAAGGAGCGUCUCACCGCCAGUGGCCAGUUGAUGCAGGGCAUCUUCACCUGCAGCCUGCACAGGUGCAUGAGGAAGAAGAUGAGGAAGGCCACCAGGAACCAGAGCACCACCACCUCGAA